rnacentral:misc_RNA from 1 species
UCCAGGUUAUCCCUGGCGGUCUCCUGAGAGUGCAUCCUUGCGGAUUAGCAACACAGGACAAGGGUAGGUAAGGUUUUUCGCGUUGCAUCGAAUUAAUCCACAUAAUCCACCGCUUGUGCGGGUCCCCGUCAAUUCCUUUGAGUUUUAACCUUGCGGCCGUACUCCCCAGGCGGUCAACUUCACGCGUUAGCUUCGUUACCAAGGAAUAACUUCCCCGACAACUAGUUGACAUCGUUUAGGGCGUGGACUAC